GAGAAGGAGACUUCGGUCUCUGAGUAGAGCGGCGCACGGGUGAGUAACGCGUGGAUGAUCUACCCUUGAGUUCGGGAUAACGGUGCGAAAGCGCCGCUAAUACCGUAUAACAAUCCAUUUCAUCGUGGGUUCAAAGCAGGCCUCUUCAUGAAAGCUUGCGCUUGGGGAUGAGUCCGCGUCCCAUUAGCUUGUUGGCGGGGUAACGGCCCACCAAGGCUACGAUGGGUAGCUGGUCUGAGAGGAUGAUCAGCCACACUGGAACUGAAACACGGUCCAGACUCCUACGGGAGGCAGCAGUGGGGAAUAUUGCGCAAUGGGGGAAACCCUGACGCAGCGACGUCGUGUGAGGGAAGAAGGCCUUCGGGUCGUAAACCUCUGUCAGAAGGGAAGAACAUCCGGGAGUCGAACAGCCUCCCGGCCUGACGGUACCUUCAGAGGAAGCGCCGGCUAACUCCGUGCCAGCAGCCGCGGUAAUACGGAGGGCGCAAGCGUUAAUCGGAAUCACUGGGCGUAAAGCGUGCGUAGGCUGUUUGAUAAGUCAGACGUGAAAUCCCUCGGCUCAACCGGGGAACUGCGUUUGAUACUGUUGAACUAGAGUCCUGGAGAGGGUGGCGGAAUUCCUGGUGUAGGAGUGAAAUCCGUAGAUAUCAGGAGGAACACCGGUGGCGAAANGCGCCACCUGGACAGGUACUGACGC
rnacentral:rRNA from 1 species